UCUAAGACUUUUAUUUUUUAAUUGUAAUACUCGGAUUCUCCCAGUGCACUAACACACUCUCUCCCGAGGAGCAUUCGCUUCUGUGCUCUACUUUCUUUCGAGAGAAAAUCUGAGUGGCCCUAAGCUUCGUGGGCUGGUCGCCGAAAAUAGCUAAAACCGAAACUCAAACUGUGGUAAUAUGCAACUUGACCAGUUCCAGUUUUGGCCCAGAGCUCGUUGCUAUUGCUACUUUAUCACAUCGCCGAUGCUGGUUGUUAACCGUUAGGUAUUUUGUUGACGUUCAUGUUUAUGGAUUUGUAUGCAGAUACGACGAACUUCCUAUUGGCAAUUCCUUAUUGUUGGUCCAGACUUGCAUAACGAUUGGCCAAGGGUUGGCCGGGUUGGCUGCUGCCCGCUGGCUGCUCGCUGUCGCUAGUCAUUAACCCAUUGAUGGCCGUACCAGUGCCGGAAAUUAUCAAUAUAAUUUUGUUUGCCAACGGAGCAGUGGUCCUGCUGCGGCUGAGGGGCAGGGAAAGAGCCAGUUACUGUUCUUUGGAUUGGGCCAGGUCAGGUCGCCGUUCAGAGAGCCAGUUCGCGAGAGGCUCUCGAGCGCUAUUGGGUUAAGCCUCGCCUGCAGCAACAUCAAAAAUAUCUUGUCAUGCCCCCGCGCUGCAGCAUGGGCAAAAGGCAACGCGUCGUGGGUUUUGUUCGCGCUUACAUCAGCAAGAUGUCCGACUGGCGGCGGAGAGAGGUCAUGGCCACUGGCCACCCAACACCGCCAACUCACCCACCCACCAAUCUGCACGCCCCAUCCACCCCCGCCGCCAUGCUUUCGCCGUUGAUUAGCCACUGUUUUCAUUAGCAGUGAGUGACUUGGGCCGAGCCAGCGAAUCGGGGCCAUCCGGCCAUUUCGAUUACGUCGCUGAUUAUCAUUUCUCAUCUGGCAGCUACGGAGCUAGGCAGCUGGCUGCUCGUCGGCAGAUUCCAUCACUGCCGAAUAAUUAAUACACAUUUAAACUGUUUCGGAUUGUAAACAAAGCGGGCUUACAUAAGGAACUAGCUGGGAGCAGCAAGCGGGACACCGACGCAAUAAUCUGUUGCCAAUCAAGCCACAUCGCAGGUCAUAAUCACGAUGCUGUGUCGAAUGAAGUUCGAACUGGGAGCCGCUGAGCUGGAGCACAUGGGCUGCACUCCAGUGCCAUCAGAGCAUCUUUCAAUGGGGAUUACAUCUUCAGCUAGCGAGGGCCAUGCUCACGAUGAUGAAGCUGCUUCUGCUGCCCCGGCGAUGACGGCAAUGACGAUGGGCAACCGGUUGGCGGUCGCACAUUAACAUCAGAUGCAACGGAGACGCACAUCUUCCCCAUAUUGCAUAAUCGACCCGGGCUCGCGACUCGAAACUCCAGACCUGCCGUCGCAUCUUCACGCGGAAGCAAAGCCAUUCUCAAAGCGCCCAAAAACAAAAAGGAAAUUGCACACCGACACAGAAAACUAAAAGCAGCUAGCAACGUGCAAUGUCGUGGUUUUCCCAAAAAACCAGUUGCAUCCACACACAGAGAGAAAAGUUGUGCUACAAGUGAUUCACGAGAAUUGUGGAGAAAGUCUUGAAAAUGUCAAUUCAAUUUUCUGCUAUAUUAUGAAGCUCUCUUGAUAUUCCUUAUGAACUGGCUGCUUUGCUUCGGAUUUGCUGGUUCAACUUUCAAAGUUUGUUGCUUUAAGUGCAGCCAUUGUUGCAGUUGCAACUGGCAUUGCUGCCUCCGUUGCAGUUGCAGCUGCGCAGACCUUUGAGCAAGUUCAAUGGUGACGGGAAUGGGAAUGGAAAUUGAAAUGGGAUUUGGACUCGGAGCGGAGGCUUAGGGGGCAGGGCAAUUACGCCCCUCGCAGUUGGGGCACUUGCUCUCGACUGCUUCCUGGCCCUGGCCAAAAACCAAAUCCAAUUCGAGACUGGCAAGGCGGAAAGGAAGGCGGUCGGUCCAACCCCGGCCCAAGCCGAGCCGAAGGAGAAACCGAAACACUGGCUGCAGUGAUGCGGGACACACAAAAGUGAAAAAGUGAAUCGUUUCCGUUUCCGUUCAUAUUCGUAAUCCACAGAUGGCAGCGCCUGCUGGCCUUUGUGCAUUGUUCACCUCCCCAAUGAAUAUAUUCCGCUGACAAUGGCGCCGUGCGCCCACUUAUCAACCCAAGGCCCGCCCACUCACUCCUGCCGAAAGGACAAAUGGCGCUCUCUAUCGGCGCCUGCAAAAACGAUUGCGUAACUUAUGGCCAGUCAUCAGCCGAAACUUUUGCGUCCGGCAAAAGCGCUUCCCAUUUUCGAUUUGUUUAUCAUUUAUUUAAACGGCCUUAGGGUCGCUCUGCCCCGCCAUUAAGCUGGUUCGAUUCCAUUUUCGUUUUAUUGGCCAAGACCCAGGACACAGGACCCAAGUGCCCCAGACCCACGCCCAUGCCCCGUAUCCAAGGCACAACCGGCACAGCAAUCGCCCGGCACACAAUGAGCAAUGCUAUUUAAUUAUGUUGAUGAGCAGGACCGGACAGCAGGACAGGAGUUCGGGAAGUGGCAGGAAAACGCUCAACACGCACAAAAAGGAAAUGCCUUUGGUCCUCCCACCCCCAACUGCCUUUUAUACGGCACUGUGGGUGGCUGAUGAAGAAUGUCAAUCUUUGAGCUCAUAACUUGGCCAUCUAAUACUCUUAAGCCAAUUGUCGGUUUCCGGUGUCGGUGUAGAAGUCAACUUAAA